rnacentral:sRNA from 1 species
GCACCUGUGAGGUGUCCCUGAGGAGAGGGAGGGCGCCCUGCGUCCGGCAGAGGAGGCGAGCAUCCCCGCUCAGGUGAUGAGGAACCCCUCGCGCACCCAGCGCAGAAGGCUGCUGCCGCCGGACGCCUCCAUUGUUUGACCACAACAAGGGCCGGAUUCUCACCCAGACCUGCAAAUCCAAGAGACACAUCUUUGGAAGAUAAGAGAGCUUCUUCAAGACCAAAAAAGGAGACGGCAUGAUACCCAUGUAGGGAAUUCCCCAAAGCAGGGCUUGCCAUACCUGGACCCCGAGGAGCCUGCUUGCUGGAAAGGCUUUCCUGUCUGAUGUGCAAGAGGCAGAAUGCCAAACUGACUCUUCAAGGGGCAACUGCAGGGGCUCGAGACCAGCCAGCAGUAUCUCAUCCUUCGAUACAGGGCAUAUACUGUACAGUCCUUUUUCUAGAAGUGAGACGUACA